UGUAGAUCCAGGAAGCCCUCCUGAGCUCACAUCGUUUGCGUCUUAUCUGUCCCUUUAUGGACAUUUAUUUAUCCCUCGUCCUCCUGUCCUCUGCAGACUCUGGGACAGAUGUGCAGGCCGAUGAGAGAGGAGCUCUGUCCGUGUGGCUGUCAACAUCAUCAUCGUUUUUUCUGAAUCUCUAGGUUACAUCCAGUCAUCAUCAUCAUCAUCAUCAUCAUCAUUUAGCUUUUCCAAAAUGAGGAUCUUCGUGUCUCUGCUGAAAAACGCAAACCCCAAAAUCGAGUAUUACUCCAGAUUUUCUCCAUCCCCGCUGUCCAUCAAGCAGUUUUUGGAUUUUGGCAGGGACAAUGCAUGUGAAAAAACAUCCUACAUGUUCCUGCGUAAGGAGCUGCCGGUGCGGCUGGCCAACACCAUGAGAGAGGUCAACCUGCUCCCUGAUAAACUGCUCAGCCAGCCUUCAGUCAGACUGGUGCAGAAAUGGUACAUGCAGAGCUUUGUGGAGCUGCUGGAUUAUGAGAACAGAAAGCCAGAGGACAGCCCCACUUUGAAUGAUUUCCUGGAGCUCUUGAUUGAGAUCCGUAACCGUCACAACGACGUGGUUCCCACCAUGGCUCAGGGAGUCAUCGAGUACAAGGAGAAGUUUGGCUUUGACCCCUUUAUCAGCAGCAACAUCCAGUACUUCCUCGACCGCUUCUACACCAACCGCAUCUCCUUCCGCAUGCUCAUCAACCAGCACACUCUUCUGUUUGGUAACGACACCAACCCUGCCCUUCCGAAACACAUAGGCAGUAUUGAUCCCACCUGCAGUGUGGCUGAAGUCGUCAGUGAUGCCUACGACACAGCCAAGAUGCUGUGUGAGAAGUACUACUUGGCUGCUCCCGAGCUGAAGAUUGAGGAGUUCAACAUGAAGGCCCCUAAAAAGCCCAUCCAGGCGGUGUAUGUGCCCUCUCAUCUGUUUCACAUGCUGUUUGAGCUCUUCAAGAACUCAAUGAGAGCCACAGUGGAGCUUCAUGAGAACAGUGAAGAGGGAUUACCACCAGUAAAGGCAAAAGUCACUCUGGGCAAAGAGGAUCUUUCCAUAAAGAUCAGUGACAGAGGAGGAGGAGUUCCUCUGAGGAAGAUUGACCGUUUGUUCAACUACAUGUACUCCACUGCUCCUACGCCUAGUAUGGAGCCAGGAGCUGUCCCACUGGCUGGUUUUGGCUACGGUUUGCCAAUUUCUAGGCUCUAUGCCAGAUACUUCCAGGGGGACCUGAAACUCUACUCCAUGGAGGGCGUUGGCACUGAUGCUGUAAUCUAUCUGAAGGCCCUUUCCAGUGAGUCCUUUGAGCGUCUGCCUGUCUUCAACAAGUCGGCGUGGCGGCAUUACAAGACCAGCCCCGAGGCGGACGACUGGAGCAACCCCAGCAAAGAGCCACGCGAUGCCAGCAAGUCCAAUUACAAAGCCCACAGAUAAACUCUACCUGACCCCGCUAAACCGGGCCCUCUGCUGGCAGCCCAAAUGCUCGCACUCUGCCCGGAGCAUGUACGAUGACAAAGGUUGCCCUUGGGUAGAUGUUUGGUUUGGGAUCAUACUUGCUUUUACAUUCCUGUGGUUAAAGCUUAGGUAAAGAAGGAUUAACUUGAAUUAUAUCUGUCUACCCAAUGGCAAUGACACUUAUCAUCGUAGCUUACUUUAUUCGUUGUGGCAUUACCGCUCUCUCUCUCUCAAGAUGACUUUUAAAAUGAACCUCUUCCACAAUUGUAGAUCCCCUCUUGUGAAUCUUUACUAAUGUUGACUCCAUGUCCUCCUCUAUCAGGCCAUCACUUCAAGCUAAAUUCACUGCAUCUCCGUCAGCUCUCCCUUUGUCUCAUGUGCAGUUUGGCCUGGUUCCUCUUUGCUGACGAGGCCGCUGCUCCCUGUGGCUGAAUGAGCCACACACUGCUGAUCGAGUGUCUUUCUCCCCACCAGGGAAGGCCUGUUUUCAGUUUCUCCCUCUCAAACACAAGCAGGGUCAGGGGGUUGGCGUUUCAGAGCAAAUUGGAAAAGGAAGAGGGUUUUAAUUUCCUUCCUUUGGAAGACACUUUUGACUGAACGCACAAUUAGGCCAGUGUGUCAUUGGCAUAGUAAAGAGUUGUUUUGUUUUUAAGCCUGGGAAAAUGAAAGACAGGAAUGCCUAUAGAUGAGAGAAAAUGAUAACUCUUUUUGGGAAAAAUAUAGAAAGCAGUGCAUCAUUUUAAAUAUCUAAGUUUUUAAGAGAGAAAGCCUUACUUCUAGCAUAUUUGAUGUUUAAGAAAAUCUGCCUUGCUGGACUUUGAAGUUUAUUUAUAAUAAGAGAAUGUAAGAGAAGAGUAUUUUUUUUAAAUAUAUAUUACCAAUUUACUCAUAGAAGUCCACGGAACGCCCACUUACAUGAAGUCGACCAGCAAUACUGACCCUCAUUAGACAUUUCUGCUUGCAAGCCAGCUCUGCACCCUGAUUUAACAACUGCUAAAGGACCAAAGGAGCCACUGGAGGAUGCUUGUAAAAUGCCUAACAGCUUCAACCACACCAGCAUGAUGCAUUGCGGGAACCCUCACAGAGAAGAAUGGACCUGUCACAUCUGACGAGGAUUAUAAAAACUCCAUCCGAUGUGAAAAGAAAGGAGUGUAGAUGAAGAAUACAGUAUGGAAAGCGUUCCCCGCCUUUCAGCCUCACUGAAAGAUUUCAU